GACGAACGCUGGCGGCGUGCUUAACACAUGCAAGUCGAGCGGAAAGGCCCCUUCGGGGGUACUCGAGCGGCGAACGGGUGAGUAACACGUGAGCAACCUGCCCCUGACUCUGGGAUAAGCCUGGGAAACCGGGUCUAAUACCGGAUAUGACGCAUUCUCGCAUGGGAUGUGUGUGGAAAGUUUUUCGGUUGGGGAUGGGCUCGCGGCCUAUCAGCUUGUUGGUGGGGUGAUGGCCUACCAAGGCGACGACGGGUAACCGGCCUGAGAGGGCGACCGGUCACACUGGGACUGAGACACGGCCCAGACUCCUACGGGAGGCAGCAGGGGGGAAUAUUGCGCAAUGGGCGGAAGCCUGACGCAGCGACGCCGCGUGAGGGAUGACGGCCUUCGGGUUGUAAACCUCUUUCAGCAGGGACGAAGCUAACGUGACGGUACCUGCAGAAGAAGCGCCGGCUAACUACGUGCCAGCAGCCGCGGUAAAAC
rnacentral:rRNA from 1 species